CCUACGGGUGGCAGCAGUGAGGAAUAUUGGUCAAUGGUCGGGAGCCUGAACCAGCCAAGCCGCGUGAGGGAUGACGGUACAGAGUAUCGUAAACCUCUUUUGUCAGGGGACAAAGGCCGCCACGCGUCCCCGUAUGAGAGUACCUGAAGAAAAAGCAUCGGCUAACUCCGUGCCAGCAGCCGCGGUAAUACGGAGGAUGCGAGCGUUAUCCGGAUUUAUUGGGUUUAAAGGGUGCGCAGGCGGACGGUUAAGUCAGCGGUAAAAUUGCGGGGCUCGACCCCGGCCCGCCGUUGAAACUGGGGGUCUUGAGUGGGAGAGAAGUAUGCGGAAUGCGCGGUGUAGCGGUGAAAUGCAUAGAUAUCGCGCAGAACUCCGAGUGCGAAGGCAGCAUGCCGGCGCCACACUGACGCUGAAGCACGAAGGCGUGGGUAUCGAACAGGAUUAGAUACCCCAGUAGUC
rnacentral:rRNA from 1 species